GCCUGGUUAGCUUGGAGGGUAGCGCAUCUGCCUUGUAAGCGCUAGGUCGCGGGUUCGAUUCCCGCCCGGGGCG
rfam:Asian citrus Psyllid, Diaphorina citri - Florida Strain, whole genome shotgun sequence.